GGCUGUCACUUACAGAUGGGCCCGCGGCGCAUUAGCUAGUUGGUGAGGUAACGGCUCACCAAGGCAACGAUGCGUAGCCGACCUGAGAGGGUGAUCGGCCACACUGGGACUGAGACACGGCCCAGACUCUACGGGAGGCAGCAGUAGGGAAUCUUCCGCAAUGGACGAAAGUCUGACGGAGCAACGCCGCGUGAACGAUGAAGGCUUUCGGGUCGUAAAGUUCUGUUGUCAGGGAAGAACAAGUACCGGAGUAACUGCCGGUACCUUGACGGUACCUGACCAGAAAGCCACGGCUAACUACGUGCCAGCAGCCGCGGUAAUACGUAGGUGGCAAGCGUUGUCCGGAAUUAUUGGGCGUAAAGCGCGCGCAGGCGGUUCCUUAAGUCUGAUGUGAAAGCCCCCGGCUCAACCGGGGAGGGUCAUUGGAAACUGGGGAACUUGAGUGCAGAAGAGGAGAGCGGAAUUCCACGUGUAGCGGUGAAAUGCGUAGAGAUGUGGAGGAACACCAGUGGCGAAGGCGGCUCUCUGGUCUGUAACUGACGCUGAGGCGCGAAAGCGUGGGGAGCGAACAGGAUUAGAUACCCUGGUAGUCCACGCCGUAAACGAUGAGUGCUAAGUGUUAGAGGGUUUCCGCCCUUUAGUGCUGCAGCAAACGCAUU
rnacentral:rRNA from 1 species